GCAAAGGUUACUGUUGGCAGUUGGAGUAUGACUGCAGGUGGGAGCUAAAUGGAAAGAAGGUUCUGAGUCGGUAAAAAGGGAAGAAGGAAGACUUAACAGAAAGCCUGUGGCAGAAAAUCCUUAAAAACAUAGAAUGAGUCCAUGGCAGAAAAUCCUUUAGCACACACAUAUGAAGAGCCACAGUAGCCUGAGCAAAAGCAGCAGCCUUGAUCCUAGCGCAAGAGUUUGCUCUAUUUAGAAAGAAGCCAAAAGUACCAUAAGGCACUUAGGUCAGUCACCUUACACCCCUACCUAAGUUGUCGGGAGAUAGGGACUUAUGUAUGAGAUGCCCCAGAAGCAGGACAUCUCAACAAGCAACAAGCAACAAGCAGCUCUAGGCCUGUGAUGCUGUUUUCAGCCAUCUGUGUGCAUUCCUCACUGCUGGCAUUGACCUAUUAGUACCCACUCUGUAAGUGGUUGGAGAGCCAGUCUUGUUGUGUUUGAUUUGAUUGUUGAUUUAAUAAAGUUGUGGU